CAGUCGCCACGGUAAUACAGAGGGUGCGAGCGUUAAUCGGAUUUACUGGGCGUAAAGCGUGCGUAGGCGGCUUUUUAAGUCGGAUGUGAAAUCCCUGAGCUUAACUUAGGAAUUGCAUUCGAUACUGGGAAGCUAGAGUAUGGGAGAGGAUGGUAGAAUUCCAGGUGUAGCGGUGAAAUGCGUAGAGAUCUGGAGUAAUACCGAUGGCGAAGGCAGCCAUCUGGCCUAAUACUGACGCUGAGGUACGAAAGCAUGGGGAGCAAACAGGAUUAGAGACCCGAGUAGUCCCUGUCUCUUAUAA
rnacentral:rRNA from 1 species